rnacentral:rRNA from 1 species
CAGCAGCAGCCGCGGGAAUACGAAGGGGGCUAGCGUUGCUCGGAAUGACUGGGCGUAAAGGGCGCGUAGGCGGUUUUGACAGUCAGAUGUGAAAUUCCUGGGCUUAACCUGGGGGCUGCAUUUGAGACGUCAAGACUAGAGUGUGAGAGAGGGUUGUGGAAUUCCCAGUGUAGAGGUGAAAUUCGUAGAUAUUGGGAAGAACACCGGUGGCGAAGGCGGCAACCUGGCUCAUUACUGACGCUGAGGCGCGAAAGCGUGGGGAGCAAACAGGAUUAGAUACCCCUGUAGUCCCUGUCUCUUAUAC